GUAAUAGCUCACUGGUCGAGUCGGCCUGCGCGGAAGAUGUAACGGGGCUAAACCAUGCACCGAAGCUGCGGCAGCGACACUAUGUGUUGUUGGGUAGGGGAGCGUUCUGUAAGCCUGUGAAGGUGUACUGUGAGGUAUGCUGGAGGUAUCAGAAGUGCGAAUGCUGACAUAAGUAACGAUAAAGCGGGUGAAAAGCCCGCUCGCCGGAAGACCAAGGGUUCCUGUCCAACGUUAAUCGGGGCAGGGUGAGUCGACCCCUAAGG
rnacentral:rRNA from 1 species